rnacentral:rRNA from 1 species
GACGAACGCUGGCGGCGCGCUUAACACAUGCAAGUCGAGCGAAGCGGCGGACGGGUGAGUAAAACGUGAGUAACCUGCAUUAGACAUUGGGAUAGCCUCGGGAAACCGGGAUUAAUACCAAAUGGUCUAAGAUGGACUCGGGUCCCAUUGGCUAGAUGGUGAGGUAACGGCCCACCAAGGCGACGGUGGGUAGCCGGCCUGAGAGGGUGAACGGCCACGUUGGAACUGAGAAACGGUCCAAACUCUACGAGAGGCAGCAGUGGGGAAUAUUGCACUAUGGGGGGAACUCUGAUGCAGCGACGCCGCGUGAACGAAGAAUGCUUUCGAGGCGUGAAGUUCUUUUAUAUGGGAAGCGGUACCAUAAGAAAAAGCCCCGGCUAACUACGUGCCAGCAGCCGCGGUAAUAC